rnacentral:rRNA from 1 species
CAGCAGCCGCGGUAAUACCAACGGUUCGAGUCGCAGCCACAUUUAUUGGGUCUAAAACAUCCGUAGCUUGUUUUGUAAGUCUUUUGUGAAAUUCUGUCUCUCAAAUUCAGAGCGAGCAGAAGAUACUACAAGGCUAGAGACUGGAAGGCGUAAGAAGUUUGUAUAGGGUAUCGGUAAAAUGAGUUGAUCCUAUGCAGACUAACGAUAGCGAAGGCAUCUUACGAGUACAGUUCUGACAGUAAGGGAUGAAGGCUAGGUUCGCGAAAGGGAUUAGAUACCCCUGUAGUCCUAGCAGUAAACACUGCACACUAAACAUCGGUAUCUCCUCGGGAGGCAUCGGUGCUGUAGCGAAGGCGAAGAGUGUGCUACCUGGGAAGUAUAGUCGCAAGGCCGAAACUUAAAGGAAUUGGCGGGGGGGCACUACAACGGGUGACGCGUGCGGUUCAAUUAGAUUCUACACCGUGAACCUCACCAGGAGCGACAGCAGAAUGAAGGUCAGUCUGAAGGGCUUACCUGACACGCUGAGAGGAGUUGCAUGGCCGACGUCAGCCUGUGCCGUGAGGUGACCUGUUAAAUCAGGUAACAGGCGAGACCCAUGUAUAUAGUUACUUCAAUGAAGCUCACUAUAUAGACUGCCGUGGCAACACGGAGGAAGGUAUGGGCUACGUUAGGUGAGUACUGCCCGAAUCCCCUGGGCUACACGCGCGCGUCAAUGCUGCAUUCAAUGUGAUGCAACUCUGAAAAGAGAAGCCAAUCAUUAAUAUCCAGCUUAGUUUAGAUCGAAGUUUGAAACCCAGCCUCGUGACACCGGAAUCCGUAGUAAUCGUUUGUUAGCAUCAAACGGUGAAUAUGUCCCUGCCCCUUGCACAC